rnacentral:lncRNA from 1 species
CACCAAUUCUACUUUAAGUCCAACAAGGACUUACAGUUAUAACUUUGCAACAAAUCCUCUGGGUUACACUCCGUCUUUAAUGAGCACACACGAACGUUCAAUCAGGUUUUGAAUGUAAUUGAAUAUAUCUAUGGAUAAGGAUGGCCACUACUCAGGAAUUAAGUAAUAAUGACAACUGUUAAGGAAAAUAAAAUUUGUUCUUUAUACUACCAAUUACAAAUUAACAAGCCAGCUAAAAACCGGAUUUACAAGUAUGAUGGGUCCAAUGAUUCAUUACUCCCAAUUACCCAAAACAUCAUAUUUAGUCCCAACAUACAUGCACGAGACUGUUAAAAGUAAGUUUCAGAAGUAAGUCCCCCUUAUAAAAAGUCCUAAGCUUAAGAGACAUACCCUCCUCAAGAAUUUUGAAUUAUGACUAGGUAAAAUAAAUAAAACUGUUCAGGUUGCAACUACAAAAAGUA